CAAAUGACUUCGCAGGUCUUACAUAGUCCCCACCCCUGCUGUAGACAGAUUUGAAGCAUAUACAUUUGUGUUGGUCUGCAGGGUCAUGAUUUUAAUAAUAUUAACAAAGUAUCAAUGGCAGAAUAAUUAACAAGUAUAUAAAUGAAUAAAGAUGGGUGAAGCAUUAUUCUCUGAUAAAUAUCAAGGUAAAUGAAAAUUAAUAUGCAUUAGAAUGAAUAAUAAUUGGACCAAGUGUGUUGCAACUCUAAGGUUCAUAAAAACAAUGAAAUGGAAGAGUCAGUUAUUGCCUGAGUCAGUUGUAGGUUUAAAGUUUAUUAAGUUAAAAAUAAAAAUAAGUAUUAUCAUAAAUUAAUAAAUGCCUAAAUGACUGUUGAAAACUAUGAAUCAAUGAAGAGAAAGUCCCAAUGAUUUUAUCAACUCUCUGCUUGGUACUUUUCAAAGGAGGUGAUCAAGUUAAUUUUGUCUACUGUGCCAUGAUCAAGAUUGUUAUGUUGCCUUUAUCUAGGAAAGAUACUAAGAACCAGUAAAGAAAUGUGAAUAAUAGCUAAAGAAAAAAGGGUGAAGCAUUGUGCGACUUUGAACAUAUGUGCCUUUUAUCCCUUAGAAUGGACAAGUUCGACCUGCUUUAGGGGUUUUUCCUUCACCAUGAGCCAUAGGAUUGCAUCUCUGUGUUUUGGAGCAUGGAGACCAAUAAUGGACGCACGCGACCUGUCUUAGGCAUCUUCCCUGGUCCUGAAUGUUCUGGGUGCAUCUCUGUUGUAGGAGCAUGGAGACCCACGUAAGUAAUAUCAAUAUUUUAGAUUGAAUGGCUUGUUUUAUGGUAUUCACUGUAUUAUUCAACAUGUUAAAUGUAAUUAAAGAAUAUGUGCACCCCUAUGUGCAUAGCAGUGUUAUUUACAAUAGCUGAGAUCUGGAAACAGCCUAGUGCCCAUCAGUAGAUGAGUGGAUAAAUAACCCAUGGUACAUUUACUCAAUGGAAUGCUAUGCAGCUGUAGAAAUGAAGGAUCUAUUACCCUUCGAGAUGCUGUGGAGUGACCUGGAGAUUAUUAUGCUAAGCAAAAUAAGUGAAUCAGAGAAAGACAAUAUCACAGGAAAUCACUUAUAUGUGAAAUAGAAUGAGCAAAAUAAACUGACCAGGAAAAUAGAACUAGUGACAUGGAAAGAUGGAACAGACUGAUGAAUCUCAGAGGGAA